AGCGAACGCUGGCGGCAGGCUUAACACAUGCAAGUCGAGCGGGCACUUUCGGGUGUCCGCGGCGGACGGGUGAGUAACGCGUGGGAACGUGCCCUCUGGUUCGGAAUAACUCAGGGAAACUUGAGCUAAUACCGGAUACGCCCUUUUGGGGAAAGGCUUGCUGCCGGAGGAUCGGCCCGCGUCUGAUUAGCUAGUUGGUGAGGUAACGGCUCACCAAGGCGACGAUCAGUAGCUGGUCUGAGAGGAUGAUCAGACACACUGGGACUGAGACACGGCCCAGACUCCUACGGGAGGCAGCAGUGGGGAAUAUUGGACAAUGGGCGCAAGCCUGAUCCAGCCAUGCCGCGUGAGUGAUGAAGGCCUUAGGGUUGUAAAGCUCUUUUAUCCGGGACGAUAAUGACGGUACCGGAGGAAUAAGCCCCGGCUAACUUCGUG
rnacentral:rRNA from 1 species